rnacentral:rRNA from 1 species
UACGUUCCCGGGCCUUGUACACACCGCCCGUCACAUCACGAAAGUGGAUUGUACUAGAAGUUCCUAUCAAACGGACCCAAGGUAUGAUUCAUGAUUGGGGUG